AUUGAACGCUGGCGGAAUGCUUUACACAUGCAAGUCGAACGGUAGAGGGGGCAACCCCUCGAGAGUGGCGAACGGGUGAGUAAUAUAUCGGAACGUGCCCAGUCGUGGGGGAUAACGUAGCGCAAGUUACGCUAUUACCGAAUACGAUCUAAGGAUGAAAGCGGGGGAUCGCAAGGCCUCGCGCGAUUGGAGCGGCCGAUAUCAGAUUAGGUAGUUGGUGGGGUAAAGGCUCACCAAGCCAACGAUCUGUAGCUGGUCUGAGAGGACGACCAGCCAGACUGGAACUGAGACACGGUCCAGACUCAUACGGGAGGCAGCAGUGGGGAAUUUUGGACAAUGGACGCAAGUCUGAUCCAGCCAUUCCGCGUGCAGGAUGAAGGCCCUCGGGUUGUAAACUGCUUUUGUACGGAACGAAAAGGUCUCUCUUAAUACGGGGGGCUCAUGACGGUACCGUAAGAAUAAGCACCGGCUAACUACGUGCCAGCCGCCGCGGUAA
rnacentral:rRNA from 1 species